rnacentral:rRNA from 1 species
CUAGAUGGUAAGGUAACGGCUUACCAAGGCUACGAUGGGUAGGGGUCCUGAGAGGGAGAUCCCCCACACUGGUACUGAGACACGGACCAGACUCCUACGGGAGGCAGCAGUGAGGAAUAUUGGACAAUGGGGCGCAAGCCUGAUCCAGCCAUGCCGCGUGCAGGAUGACGGUCCUAUGGAUUGUAAACUGCUUUUGUACAGGAAGAAACACUACUUCGUGAAGUAGCUUGACGGUACUGUAAGAAUAAGGAUCGGCUAACUCCGUG